ACACUCGGCGCGGCGGGGCUCGCCGUGGCCCGGCAACCCGUUCUGCCACGGGAGCCUCCCUCCCCCACCCCCGACCCUCGGGAGCUCGCUCUAGGCCCUCCGCGGGGGCUCCGGACCCUUCCCUUUCACCUCCCUCAGCAGCCCCAGCUACUCUCCAGCGCCCCCGCUCGGGCCCAGCCUCACCAGCCCCGGGGCGCGGGGGCCACCCCGCUCACAGCGCCCUCAGGCAUCGCGCUCGGCGAUUUCUGCUCCGCAGCGGCAGCGGCGGCAGCAGCUAUGGUGGCACGAGCGGCUCAAAACGCGAACUACCGCCUGGGCCAAGCUACGGGCUGGUGAGGCGGAGCCGAGGCGAAGGGGUGCGGCCUGCAGCGAGGAGGGCGUUCUGAGAGUGGGCCAGUAAGGCUUACGGAGGCGGAGCCAACGAAAGGGCCUAGGAAGUAGAGCUGGCGCUUGGGAAACUGAAGGUUCCGCACAGUACAAUCGCGGGGUGCGCUCCUAAAGGAAGGUCAACGGACGUGGCUUCAGAACUUAGAGAACCAGCCUUUUAAGGGGUAACAAUUUUUCAUUACCCAUAGAGGACAACACUUACAACAUACCUGAUUGAGCCAUAGCACUGGUGGCAACUUGAGGCUUCAGAUCUGAUUCUAAGAGAGGAGAAACAGUUACCACUGGUCCUGAGAAUAAAGGACCUUUUAAGGAACCAAGCUGUAAACUAAGAAGUAUCUGAAAAAUCUACUGAGGAUUUCCCUUCACUAAAGAUGUUACACUCAUUACCAGAGAUCAUUCACAUAUCUCACCUGAAAGAGAUGAUACUUUCCGUAUCAAAAUAUUCCGUUUUCGAGUCAGAAGAUUUUUCUGUCCUAUCAACUUGUCUGCCUGAUCCGUUAGUCCCUGAAUUUCGCUGAAUGCCUAGAAACAAAAAAUUAUCAUGUGAAUCAAUUUGCUCUUUCUAAGAACAGGUAAGGGGAAGAACGGAAAAGAGAAAAAGAAGGGAAGUUAAAUGAAAAAGUCACAGAUGUCUAAGUGCCCAAGUUGAGAUCCUCUUUAUAAACCUAGAACAAAAUUACACAUACCUAGAAAUAGAAGUUACCAGAGUCAGCUCCACUUUUAAAAAGCAGCCUUCUAACAAAUAGUUUUGGAUCAGCACAAAGACCACAUUGAAUGGCACUGCACUAAAGCAUCUUUCUUCAAGAAGACUGAAGAUUGAGAUGGACUUAAUCAUAAAUGCUUCAGCUCUUAAAAGAAGUAUCAGCUUUUAUCAAUCAGCCUUCACAGUCAUCAACUUAUUUAAAUCCUUUACUGUUACUGUACAUAAAGAAAUCAUUUGUAAAAAGAGGAGUUACUUCCUAAAACUUUCCUUAAUGCUUUCCUACUAAUACUCAAUAUUCCACACCAUGGGAAUAAGUAUCUUUAAAAGACCUUUGCUAGUCAUGUUUAAAAACAAAAACACAACUUUAUAUGCUCUUCCUGAAGAAAGAUUUGGCUAUCCUUAAUAAUUACUACUAUUCACUCUACUUUUAUGAUAUUUCUAAAGUGUCAGCAAUUAAGAUGAUUAAAUAAGAGUGAUGUUUACAGACAGGUUACUUAAAAACAAAAUGAUUCACAGAAUAUACACCAAAACUCUGAUUGAAAUCCAUUAUCUUUCCAAAUGAUUUCUGUAGCUCGCAACAAAAGAUGAAACUCUGGGCUUACCACAGGAUUGGGUUUAGGAGUAUAUGCUCUGGCAGGCUUAAUUCCAGUGAGCACUUUGCCCUUCACAGUAGUAGGUAAAACUUCUGGCUGAGGCAACAACAACGGCUUCAUAGGCUCAAUGACGGAAGGCGUUGGGAUAUAAACUGGCUCUGGAUCUACUUCACCUUCUACUUUCACCCAUAAUGGGUAAUGUCGAACAGGCUGUUCAGGCUCUGUUUCACAUAUAGCUUAAUAAAAAGAAGGAGAUUUUAAGUGCCUUUAGCACUACCAAAACAAAAUGUGCUCCCUUACAGAGAGCAAUAAUUCAUUAAAACAAUCUAACAGAUGCCCCCUAAAAAACCUUUAGUUGCCAUCAAACACCUUGAUUUAUCAAUUAUUUGUUGAAUAUCUGUUGUAAGUCAGAUACUGUUUUAGGCACUAGAGGGAAAACAGCUAUGAAUAAAACAAAGUCCUUGCCCUUAUAGGGUUUAUAAUCUAGUAGGAACAAACUUAACAUUUAAUAUAAAGUAAUGCUAAGUGUCACAUAGAAAAAUAUACCAAGGUAAGGGAUGCAGAGUUAAUAGGAGAUAUUUAGCAUGAUCAGAAAAGGCUUCCCUAGUAUCCUAGAAAGAUAAUUGUUCAAUACUAUACUUUUUAAUUUUACAAAUAAAACAAGUAUUGGGAAGCCUGGGUGGCUCAGCGGUUGAGCAUCUGCCUUUGGCUCAGGGUGUGAUCCUGGAGUCCCAG